GCUUUUAUAGUUUAAGUUAAAAUAUUAAAUUGCAAGUUUAAUGAUAUAUUAAUUAUUUAAAGUU
rnacentral:tRNA from 1 species